rnacentral:lncRNA from 1 species
UGCCUCGGAGACGAAUGCAGUAGCAGAGUUGUCUAUACUUGUCUUGCUUGUCAAGGAUUUUCCCAUAUCUCAAGCAAGGUCAUCCCCCCUAGUUGUGUGAACUUAAAUUGUGAAACCGACAAGGUAGGGCCCUCUUCCUGCAAUCAUGUUCUAGGUUUCACUUAAAGAUCCUCUAUUUUUCAAAAUUGACUUAAAUAAUUUUAUGAUGGCAUUGAAAGUAUCCAAAAUUUAACAGAUGAUAAUGCAAUCCAUACAGCCAACAUAUACCAGCGAGCUAAGUCAUAGUAGUAUGGUCAAUGUGAAGUCACCUGACCUGCACAAAACCUUCUUCACCAUCACAAGAUAUGAUAGCUAGAGCCCCUAUUCAU